AUGAAAUAAUUCUCUCUAUUCUUUCUCUAAAUCUGUAUUCUUCUUCUUCUUCUUCUUCUUCUUCUUCUUCUUCUUCUCUUCUCAUUUAGGGUUCAUCCCUUUCUUCUUCCAUUACUACAUGGUAUCAGAGCGGGCUUCAUUUACUCGUAAUAACAGUUCAUUGAACUACAACAAUCAUUAGAAUCGAUCAAUAAUUAGUAAAUCUGGAGAGAUUCAAUUCUGUCAAUAACGGUGAUUGAAGAAAUUGUGACUAACAAUGGUGAACAACAAUGGCAACAAUUCAUCUCAGAGUUCUGGAAGUUUUGAGGGUGUUGGUGUCGACUACAAUCAUUCUUUGUUCUUGAAUCCAUAAGAUGUAAGUGGAAUUCAGAUAAUUACUUUUCAACUUACCGGAAUUGAAAAUUUUGCACUGUGGUUUAGAUCAAUGAAGAUUGCACUUCUUGGAAGAAACAAGAUGGGACUUGUUGAUGGUUCGUGCAGUAUGGAUAAAUAUCCAGAGAAUUUAUGGAAUCACUGGGAAGGAAUAAAUGCAAUUGUCCUUUCUUGGGUGAUGAACUUAAUUGCUAAAGGAUUACUGGGAGGUGUGAUGUAUGCUACCACUGCUCAAGCUGUGUGGGAUGAGAUGUAUGAGAGAUUCAAUAAGUUAGAUGGAUUAAGAACAUUCAAUAUUCACAGGGAAAUUACAUCUUUUACGUAAGGUACUAGUUCUGUGUCUACAUAUUUCUCAAAACUCAAAGAUUUGUGGGAAGAAUUUGAGUCUUUAACUCCUACACCUCGUUGUAAAUGUGAGAAAUCAAAAGAGCUUGCAAUUCAUCUUCAGAAAUUAAAGUUGUUUCAAUUCUUGAUGGGGUUAAAUGAGUCCUAUAGUCAGGCGAGGUCUUAGAUUCUCUUAAUGUGUCCUAUGCCCUCAUUAAAUCAGGCAUAUGCUAUGAUCUUGAGUGAUGAAGGUCCAAAGUCUAUUAGUGCAAAUGCUAGUUCUGGUGCUAGUCAUUUAGGUCUGUUGGCUGCAAGUCCUGCAGUUAUGAGUAACAUGGAUGUUGCAAUGUAUUCUAGAAAUGCUGGUGGUCCUCAAAGGUUAAGAAAGAAGUAUAACAAUCUAUUAUGUGAGGUGUGUAUGAUUAAAGGGCAUUCAAAAGAGAACUACUAUAAAAUUGUGGGGUAUCCUCCAGAGUUUAAGAACAAGAAAAGGCCUUAUAGUGCAACUACUGAUGAUGCAAGUCACUACAAUAAUCAGUACAGACAAUUUUCUAAUUUGGUGUCCGGUUCAAAUGUUGCAUCCUGAAAUGCAAAUUCUGAUGGGGUUGACCAGUUAAACACAGGAAACAAUGCAGAGAGAAAAUAGGUGUUACAAAAUAUGAUUUAGGGGUUCAACAUGAAUAAUGAGCCAAGUUAUGGUCAGAAUACUCAAGCAGGACAAUAUUCAUUUGCAAGAGAGCAAUAUGAGAAAAUUAUGAAUAUUCUCAAAGACAAGGGACCUUAAAUAGCUUUCUCAGCUCAGGCAACAUGAGAUCAGUCAGCAGGAUCUUUACAUCGGGAACGUAAAGGAGAUUGGUAACGAAGGGGAUGGUAUCUACAUCUUGGUGAAUCACGCUUUUAGAUACAAUAGAGGAGUGGCAAUGAUAGCAAAUGAAGAGAACAACCUAUCAACAAAAUAUAUUCAAGUUUGGCAUAGAAGAUUAGGUCAUGCGUCAUCUACUACUUUGAAUUAGAUGUUUUCAGUUAGUUCGGAUGUUAUUUCUGAGAAUAUUUAUAAGUGUUCGGUG